rnacentral:tRNA from 1 species
AUCCGUCGACUUUAGAAAUCGUGAGGUUCAAG